GUAAAAGCAAAGACGAGAAAAAGUAAGUUUAGAAGUUUACAAGAGAGAUUGCGGGUGGUGUGAGCAAUUAAAAUUCUAAUCUGAACACACAUCUCCAAGCUGACAGUUGAAAAAUUUCAGUAAGCUGAUCCGGUUGUAACCGUUAUAUUACUAGCGUUUAGUAGUCUUGAACGUAAUAAGGUAGUCUUCUGUGAAGAGGCUACAAAAAAAGGUGGUACCACGAUAUAAAAAUUAUCGUCCUUUGA
rnacentral:ncRNA from 1 species